rnacentral:tRNA from 4 species
CGGGGCGUAGCGCAGUUUGGUAGCGCGCUUGCUUUGGGAGCAGGACGUCGCAGGUUCAAAUCCUGUCGCCCCGA